UACGUAGGUGGCGAGCGUUGUCCGGAUUUACUGGGCGUAAAGGGAGCGUAGGCGGACUUUUAAGUGAGAUGUGAAAUACUCGGGCUCAACUUGAGUGCUGCAUUUCAAAUUGGAAGUCUAGAGUGCAGGAGAGGAGAAUGGAAUUCCUAGUGUAGCGGUGAAAUGCGUAGAGAUUAGGAAGAACACCAGUGGCGAAGGCGAUUCUCUGGACUGUGACUGACGCUGAGGCUCGAAAGCGUGGGGAGCAAACAGG
rnacentral:rRNA from 1 species